rnacentral:rRNA from 1 species
AAAUUGAAUAGUUUGAUCAUGGCUCAGAUUGAACGCUGGCGGCAGGCCUAACACAUGCAAGUCGAACGGUAACAGGAAGCAGCUUGGUGGUUCGGUGACGAGUGGCGGACGGGUGAGUAAUGUCUGGGAAACUGCCUGAUGGAGGGGGAUAACUACUGGAAACGGUGGCUAAUACCGCAUAACGUCGCAAGACCAAAGAGGGGGACCUUCGGGCCUCUUGCCAUCAGAUGUGCCCAGAUGGGAUUAGCUAGUUGGUGAGGUAACGGCUCACCAAGGCGACGAUCCCUAGCUGGUCUGAGAGGAUGACCAGCCACACUGGAACUGAGACACGGUCCAGACUCCUACGGGAGGCAGCAGUGGGGAAUAUUGCACAAUGGGCGCAAGCCUGAUGCAGCCAUGCCGCGUGUAUGAAGAAGGCCUUCGGGUUGUAAAGUACUUUCAGCGGGGAGGAAGGUGUUGUGGUUAAUAACCGCAGCAAUUGACGUUACCCGCAGAAGAAGCACCGGCUAACUCCGUGCCAGCAGCCGCGGUAAUACGGAGGGUGCAAGCGUUAAUCGGAAUUACUGGGCGUAAAGCGCACGCAGGCGGUCUGUCAAGUCGGAUGUGAAAUCCCCGGGCUCAACCUGGGAACUGCAUUCGAAACUGGCAGGCUUGAGUCUUGUAGAGGGGGGUAGAAUUCCAGGUGUAGCGGUGAAAUGCGUAGAGAUCUGGAGGAAUACCGGUGGCGAAGGCGGCCCCCUGGACAAAGACUGACGCUCAGGUGCGAAAGCGUGGGGAGCAAACAGGAUUAGAUACCCUGGUAGUCCACGCCGUAAACGAUGUCUACUUGGAGGUUGUGCCCUUGAGGCGUGGCUUCCGGAGCUAACGCGUUAAGUAGACCGCCUGGGGAGUACGGCCGCAAGGUUAAAACUCAAAUGAAUUGACGGGGGCCCGCACAAGCGGUGGAGCAUGUGGUUUAAUUCGAUGCAACGCGAAGAACCUUACCUGGUCUUGACAUCCACAGAACUUUCCAGAGAUGGAUUGGUGCCUUCGGGAACUGUGAGACAGGUGCUGCAUGGCUGUCGUCAGCUCGUGUUGUGAAAUGUUGGGUUAAGUCCCGCAACGAGCGCAACCCUUAUCCUUUGUUGCCAGCGAUUAGGUCGGGAACUCAAAGGAGACUGCCAGUGAUAAACUGGAGGAAGGUGGGGAUGACGUCAAGUCAUCAUGGCCCUUACGACCAGGGCUACACACGUGCUACAAUGGCGCAUACAAAGAGAAGCGACCUCGCGAGAGCAAGCGGACCUCAUAAAGUGCGUCGUAGUCCGGAUUGGAGUCUGCAACUCGACUCCAUGAAGUCGGAAUCGCUAGUAAUCGUGGAUCAGAAUGCCACGGUGAAUACGUUCCCGGGCCUUGUACACACCGCCCGUCACACCAUGGGAGUGGGUUGCAAAAGAAGUAGGUAGCUUAACCUUCGGGAGGGCGCUUACCACUUUGUGAUUCAUGACUGGGGUGAAGUCGUAACAAGGUAACCGUAGGGGAACCUGCGGUUGGAUCACCUCCUUACCUUAAAGAA